UAAAUUUGUCUAUUCACUAAAAUUCUAUAUAUUAAAUAUAAUUAAUCAUUAAAAAACAAAAAAAAAAAAAUUGUGAUCUUCUUCCCCAACAACCUCCCAGACCCAAUGCCAAAAGAACAGAGAGCAACGAACGGAGCAAUUAAACCUCAUCUCCAUCCAUAAAAAUAUUUUCAAUCAAUUCUACAUAGAAUAAAAAAAUUUACAGAAAUUGAUUCUCAUUCCUAAUUUACUCAUUCCUUCUUCGAUUCCGCCGAGUGUGUCUUCGAACAUCUCGUCAAUCAAAACAAUCUAGACUCAAAACUUUACUCAUUCCUUCUUCGAUUCCGCCACCGCCGUUUUGACGGGCUCCUUCCCCGGCUUCACAUCCCCAUUAGCCUUGUCUGCCGGCGCGGAAAUGGAGUCGUUUCGCAACGGGGUGGUGGGAGGUUGUGGGCUGGGGUUUGAGCGAUAGGUCUCGUUGUCGGAGUUGGGUCCUGGGUUGCUUUGGUAGAAUUGAUUAGGGAAAUUCCGACGGCGGAAGGAGUGGGAAUUGGAGGCGGCGCAGGGGAGGAAUUUGGGCUAAGCAAGAUGGGAACAAUAAUAAUUUUUUUUACAGAAGUUGAGAAUUAGAGAGAGAGAAAGAGAUUUGGCAGAUUAAAAAAAUGAAAAAUGAAAAGGAGA
rnacentral:lncRNA from 1 species